AGUGAACGCUGGCGGCGUGCUUAACACAUGCAAGUCGAACGAGCAAGUGCUGUAGUAAUACAGAUUACUGCUAGUGGCAGACGGGUGAGUAAUACAUGGGAAUCUGCCUUGAAGUCUGGGAUAACUGUUGGAAACGACAGCUAAUACCGGAUAUUGCCGAGAGGUGAAAGAUUUAUCGCUUCAAGAUGAGCCCAUGCAAGAUUAGCUAGUUGGUGAGGUAAUGGCUCACCAAGGCGAAGAUCUUUAGCUGGUCUAAGAGGAUGAUCAGCCACACUGGAACUGAGACACGGUCCAGACUCCUACGGGAGGCAGCAGUGGGGAAUAUUGGACAAUGGGCGAAAGCCUGAUCCAGCGACGCCGCGUGAGUGAAGAAGGCCUCGGUGUAAGACUCUUUAGUAGGUAGGAUGAUGACGGUACCGUACAGAAAAGAAUA
rnacentral:rRNA from 1 species